GUUUGGGACCCUAUGAAUAGACCGUGGGCGGGUCCUGGCUUGACAAAGAAGGGACUAAGCUUCGCGGGGCCCGGAACCGUCAGGGGCGGGGCCAGAGAAAGGUGAUACCCUUCCCAGCGAAAAGGCGGGAGAGGGGCGGGACCAGAAUGGGGCAGGAGUUGGGGCAGCGGCUACGCCGCGAAUUGACCGGGCCAAAAAGAAAAGGCCCAGAAAGGACGCAGCCACCCAGGGGCGGAGCGUGGGGAGGGCGCGCUCCCUCUGCCGCUGGGAGCCGGGUGGUAGCUGAGCACCGGGAAGCGACCUCCCUGACGGAAGCGGGCGCUGCGCGCCAGGGCAUCAUCGUCCACCAAGUAUGGCACGAUCACCGCACGGGGGUAUCUGGGGCACAAGCUGAAGUCCUCGUUCACCUCGCUCAGCCGCCACGCGUUGGUCUCGAUGGAGCGGGCGAUGCCCAGCGUCGCUUCCGCGCCCUCUAUUUCCAGCUGCAGCACUCGCAGGUCUUUACAGCACAGGGUGAUGGUGCCCGAGUCACUCGCAACCCUGGGGAGGGACGUUCCUUUCCCAGGAGAGGGGCAACGAGUUUCCCGGAUUGGGCUUACGCAGGAGGGCGCCAGCUCUGACUGCGCUGGCCGUGCCCCCUACUCCGCCAAGCCGCGCGCUCCCCAACCCCGGGGACCCUCCCCCACCCCGCCACGUCUCACUGCUUCUCGAAGGAGUCGACGCUACGCAACAGCAGCAGCCACAGGUCCGGAGAGGACGCGGGCCCUGGCGACAGGAGCAGGUGGUGGACGGUGACUCACACCGUGCCGCGAAGCGGGGGCGCCUCCGGGCCCCGUAGAAACUCUGCUUGGGCUCAGCCCGUAUGGAUCAGCUCCGAGAACUCCAUUCUGCCAGUGAGAGACCCGGGGCCCAGCAGAAGGCCAGACUCUGAGAGCGUCAGGAGGGGCAGGCUGGAGCUCCGAAAGGGAUAGGAACUGCCUGGGCAGCUGGCGACGCCGUCUGGACAGCUGUUAAGGAGGCCCCUCAGAGGAAAGGAUCACAGUUUCACAGGAAUUUCCCCUCAUAUUGCCAAUAUUUCUUAGCGAGGUCCCUGGCCAGAGACUGUUAUAAGCAAAUCUCCAUGUCAUCGUCUGUGAAAUGGGGAGAAUAAUCUUGCCUAAAGUCCUUAACCCUGUGCCUGGGUUGCAGGAGACACUCAAUAUUUUUGUAUUUUUGUUUUUUCAAGCCCUGAGGUGCUAGCACUACUGCUAACUUUAAAAAGAAAGAAAGACUGGGCGCAGUGGCUCAGGCCUGUAAUCCCAACACUUUGGGAGACCGAGGCGGGGCGGAUCACCUGAGGUCAGGAGUUCGAGACCACCCUGGCUAACAUGGUGAAACCCUGUUUCUACUAAAAAUACAAAAAAUUGGCCAGGCGUGGUGGCUCACACCUGUAAUCCCAGCACUUUGGGAGGCCGAGGCGGGCCGAUCACGAGGUCAGGAGAUCGAGACCAUCGUGGCCAACAUAAUGAAACCCCGUCUCCACUAAAAAUACAAAACUAACUAGGCAUGGUGGCGUGCACCUGUAAUCCCAGCUACUCGGGAGGCUGAGGCAGGAGAAUCGCUUGAACCCAGGAGACCAAGGUUGCAGUGAGAUGAGAUAGCGCCAUUGCACUCCAGCCUGGGCAACAAGAGCAAACUCCGUCAAAAAAGAGAAAAGAAAGAAGAAAGGAAGGAAGGAGGGAGGGAGGGAAGGAAGGAAGGAAGGAAAGAAAGAAGGAAGGAAGGAAGGAAGGAAAGGAAGAAAGAUAACUAUCUCUUCCACCAUACCCUGGUGGAAGGGCUGGAAAGUGGGUGUGAAACUGGGAACUGCCUACUUCCUCCCAUACAUAAGAAACUUGGGUUGGGGAAAUCCUUUGGUCCACCUUAAAUGCUGCAGCUGUGUAGCUGGCGUCCCUCCUCGACCUCGCAGCUGGAAGUCCCUGCCUGAGGGCGCCCUCUGUGCAGCCCACUUCUGGCUGAGUCCAGACCUCAAGAACCCCAUCAGCUAUCCACCAUCGUUUCAGCAAGUGUGUAUUACCUGUACAGUGAGUUAGCUGGGCCCUGUGUUUGGUGCUGGGGCCCAGGGAUGACUGGGGAAGAUUCUGUUCACAGGGUUUUCAGUCUGGCAAGAGACACAAUUAAGCUGGUAAAAUUGCAGGACGAGAGCUGAGCUGAUUUACCACAGGACCCAUCUAUUCAUCCAUCCGUCUUCUUUUUCUUUUGUAAAUAUUUUUGUGGAGAUGGGGGUCUCCCUGUUUUGCCCAGGCUGGUCUUCAACUCCAAGCCUCAAGCAAUGCUC
rnacentral:lncRNA from 1 species